AGGCUACAGCAAUCAAUACACUCCUAAUUAAGUAUGGGUGUGAGUGAAGUGCCCCAAACUUACAGGGGUGUGUGUAUAUAUAUAUACCCUGUCCCACAUGGGACUCACACACAUACACCACGACCACACCAGAUACUGGCACCACAGACAACUUCACACAGAUAUGUUCUCAAAUUCUCCAGCUCUCUACCAGACGUAGAUGGGUACGUUCACUAACCUGCUCAUCUGCAUUCUGAGUAAAACAUUUAUAACUAAUGUAAAGGAGUCAAGGAUUGAAAUGCUGUUGCUCUUUUUGUCAACAACACGGACCAUAGAGAUGAGACAGACACCGGACCCAGAUAAAGAAGACUACGAAACUGGGAUAGAAAAAGCAUUGAAUAAAACAAGAUGGCUGCAUCAGGUCUUAUUCAGCCAGGGGCUGUGUGAUAUGUUUGAUAUUCGGUUGUUCUCCUGUGUAAUCACAUCAACUAAAUAUCAGACAUAUUCCUACAGAGCCUGGCACACAUCUUCAGAGCCUUGGAUACUUCACAGACUACUGGCCAAUCCACUCAAAUGAUCGUGGGGUUUGUACUGUUUGUAAAUCAUGAAUCAAGAAACAAUUACAUGUAAUUCUUUAUUAAUACCUGUAAAUUUACCGUACAUUAAAAAGCUCUCUACUUAGACAAGCAUUGA